rnacentral:rRNA from 1 species
UACGUGAGGGGCGAACGUUGUUCGGUGUCACUGGGCUUAAAGGGUGCGUAGGUGGUUUCGUAAGUAAGGUGUGAAAGCCCUCGGCUUACCCGGGGAAUUGCGCCUUAUACUGCGAGACUUGAGGAUUUCAGGGGAAUGGGGAACUCCAGGUGUAGCGGUGAAAUGCGCAGAUAUCUGGGGGAAGGCCGGCGGCGAAGGCGCCAUUCUGGGAAAUUCCUGACACUGAGGCACGAAAGCGUGGGGAGCAAACAGG